UCCUCAUAUAUGAACCUGCAAUCUUCCUUUUCACCACUCGUUGAGCCACAUCGAUCAGCCGUCGAUCAGCCGCCAAACAUCUGACUCGACCAUUGGGGAAUCAAUUGGCUCCAUCAAGAGAGGGUGAUGUCCACGACGAUGUCGUCCUUUUGCGGCCUUAUUUUCUCCUUCUGGCAAUUCAUGCACUUUGGAAAUCAUUCUUUCUCUCGCCGAACCCUGUCAAGUCUCGCCCACGACCCUCAUCCACACAUCGCGAGGCGCGAGCAGAUGGUGAAUCCACGCGUGAUCUCUGUUCUUCGCUGUCGACACUUGCAGACUAGGAAAGCAGCUUGAAUGGUCCUGAUAUGGAAGUUUUGGAGGUUCAGGACGACGACGACCACAGUGGUUGUCUUUUCCGCUCCAAUCAGUUGUUUAGUCUUUGCAAAACUGCAAAGAGGCUUGAGCAUUUCGUUUUUUGAGGCACUAUGUCGAAAUAAGAUAAGCAAAAUCUUUUCCAUUCUUCUUUUUCUCUAUUUCGAUGCCACCGUUUGGGAGUUUUUAGUUCAUCUUUCUAUAUUAAUGUGGAAUUUUAACUUCUACAAAAGAUUGACCUGAAAAAUGAUGAAUAGAUUUUCAUCUGUAUUUAAGUAAAUGUUGGUGCAUGCUAAUUGUGUGAUGAGUUUCAGUGAACACAAACCAUCCUUCCUUUAUAUUUCACUAUAAGUUUCGUGCAUACUAAUUGUUUGAUAAAACGCCUGACCGAAUUUCUCUCCCUUUUCAUGGUGUUGCUGUAAAAUUCAUCAUGAAUAUUGAGAAGCUCUUAAAGCUUGGAGAAUACUUAGAAUCUGGAACUGAGACAUUCCGUUUGGUUUGCAUCGUUUACUCUUAUAAUUGUCUGAUAUUCUUGGACUGUUUUUGUUUUUAGGAAUCAAACAUGUGGUGAAGUUGCCAUUCCCAGUACAGGACAUAAAUCAGUACUAUGUUAAUAGAUGAUAAUUUGAGACAAUCUACUUCAUUUGUGCUACCCAUUUUUCUCUUAAUAGAGUUUUGGGUAUAUGAACUUUCCUAUCUUGGAUGCAAAAUUGAAACCUUACCAGCAUUUUGCUCUCGUGGCCAAAUUAUUACUUGCAUAUUAAUUGGCCAAAAACUUUGCAUUAGCCAAAAUUUAUGUUACUAAAUCACUAAGCAUGUUACAUGAACAUGGAGGUGCUUCCUCUAGGGUUUAUGGUAGUCAUUGUUGAACAAAAGAGAGAACCUGUGUUUUGUGCAGUAAUUCCAGGAUCUGGUUGCAGCCUCCUUAUUUUGAUUCUCUUUAAUGGUCUAAGACUCUAAGUAGUACAUGUUGUGCUUGGAUGAGAUGAUCGUGCCUAAGACUACUAACUACAAGCUUGAUUUUAAUGGAUUUCUAUCCAAGGUUAUAUUAUGUUUAUUGUCUUUCAUUUAGUUAUAUCAUAAACUUAUAUAGCUUGAACUCUUCCAAUUUUUGAAAUCUAAGAUUUUAUUUUUGGUUCAUUAUGUGUUGUGGCCAAAAGUUGAAGGUUAAAUCCUAUAAGUUAAUUGAUUAACUUUCUCUGAUAUGUUAAAUCAGCAGCAGGGAGUGAAAAGACGCAACAAGUGUCCUUAAAUGUUCCUAUAAGAUGCAGAAUUUUGACUUGGAUAACAACACAUGAUUAAAACUAUGUUUUGUCUUAUUUAAUUUUGUUUUACCAGUAACUUUAUGAUCUUUGUGUUAAAAUAAAAUAUUAUGUCUUUGAACAGGUGGUAGCAGUAGAGGUUUGAGGUAGGGAUGAUGAGAGGAUUUGGUAGCUUUGAUCUCCACAGGUUCAAACAUUGCAUUUAAACAAUUUUUCUCAAUUGGUUUCUGAAAAACCUGUGUUGUUGAUGAGAUGUUUUCCUUCCGAUGUAAACCUAUGCUUCCCCUUUCCGGUUAAUAUGUUGUUACUGAUGUUUACCCUGCUUUUUUGGAUUAAUGUCGUUUUCCUUUACUUGCAGGAAUAAUUCAUUUAGAGGUAUUUUGAUUAGUUUUGGUUUCAUUCUAAUAGUUGUUUUUUAUUUCUUUAACAGGUCUUAAUCUUAAUGGUUAAAGAUUUUUUGAUACCUUUCAGAAGUUUUAAUUGCUAUUUAUAUUAAUACUUAAAUUGGUUUGGUUUAGUUGGUGGGUUGUUAUUCGCUCCCUCUAUUGAUAUUUGCUUCCUUUUACUGUGCAAAUGGUGUACCCUUGAGUGAAUAAGUUGCAGAUGUUUUAUUUUCAUAUUGGGAUUUGGUAUUGUUUGAUCACUGAUGUAUGUUAGAAGUUUGGUACAUUGUCUAUGCUUCUUAAUUUGGUGAUUUAUUGAUCAUGUCUCAUAAAUUUUAGGCUUAAAGGGUUCAAAGGCCCCUGAGAUUACAAAGGGAAUCAAAUCCAGGACCUGGAAAAUUUUCGUAUCAAAUUGAGCCCCUAAGAAAUUUUUUUUAAUUCAAUUAAGGCCAAAUAUUGCCACAGCUCAAUUUUGUCCUAGUCACUUUUACCACGUGGCUUUUAUAAUUAUUUUUUAAUUAAAAAAUUUAUUUUUUUAAUUCCAACUCAUUUAUUUAAGUAGAAAAAACUUAAUAAAUCCCUAAUUUAAAUAAAAUCCCUUAACUAAAUAAUUACCUAAAUAAUAACCUAAUCUAAUAAUCUAAUAAUAACAAAAAACAUCAAACCCAACAAGAAAUUAACAAUCCCUUCAACAUCAAACAACACAGAUCUAGGGUUUCACUAACAAUUCACAAAUCUUCAUCCUCAACCCCAACAACUGUUAUCUUCUUCCUCAACUCCCAAAAAAUCCAUUCUUCUUCUUCUUCUUCUUCCCCACCCCCACCCACCCAACAAACCCAAAUCUUCAUCCUCAACCCCAACAACUGUUAUCUUCUUCCUCAACUCCAAAAAAAUCCAUUCUUCUUCUUCUUCUUCUUCUUCCCCACCCUCACCCACCCACCCAACAAACUCAAAUCUUCAUCCUCAACCCCAACAACUGUUAUCUUCUUCCUCAACUCCAAAAAACUCAUUCUUCUUCUUCUUCCCCACCCUCACCCACCCAACAAACCCAGACAACCAGAACCCCACCACCCUCAAUCCACAUGCAAAUCCGAGUUCAGUCUCACCUCACCAACCUAGAUCCAGCCCAGAUCGAAGCAUAUCCGGACAAAUUGAAGCAAGGAGAUGGCAAAGGUGCAGCAAGGAGAGCUUGGGUUUGGCAAUGGCAGCAAAAAAGGGUUGGGUGUGGUGGUUGGGGUGGGUUUCAGUUUUGCUGGUUGCGGGCUAAAGAAGAUGAAAUUUGGGGUGGGUAGAUAGUGGUGGUGCGUGGGUUCGGAGGUGUUGAGGUGGGUUGGGGUCUUGUUUCUGGAUUCUGAAUUUUUGGUGUGGUUAUGGGUUUUCAAUGGUGGGGGUUGAAGAGGUGAGGAAGGUUGCAGGGAGUGAUUUGUUUUAUUUUUAGAUUUAUGUUUUUAUUUACAUUAGAGAUUUUAUUAAGUUUUUUAUUUUUUAUUUAUGCUUUAAUAUAUGAGUUGGAUUUAAAAAAUUAAGUUUUAGGAAUUUUUCAAUUAAAAAAAAUUUAAAAUGCCACAUGGAAAAGCUGAGUAUGCUAAAAUUGAAGCCACUUCAGCAUCAGACACACUUUGUCCUUAAUUGAAUUAAAAAAAAAAAAAUUCUUAGGGACUCAAUUUGAUGCGAAAAUUUUUCAGGUCCUAGAUUUGAUUCCCUUUGUAAUCUCAGGGGCCUUUGGACCCUUUAAGCCUAAAUUUUAGGAUGAAUAGCUAAUGAUUUAUUCUAAUUAAUCAUAUUACCUAAUGCCUUUACUCUUCAUUCGUUCUGAUGCAUUUGAAAAUAAUGAUUUGUUGUAAUUCUUCAUUCAAAAGCUAAGGAAGUUUUGUUUUUCCUAUUUUCUUUUAACUGGAGUUGCUCAUAUGGGUAUGUUGAAGUUCAUGAAAGUUGAAGUAGUAGCCAUAUAUCAUGUAAAAAGCCACUUACAAAUAUGUGCCAUUCUUUCAAUUUGCUCUUUUAUUAGCUUAGGUUCUUCACUCUAUCUUUUAAAUAAUUCUUCUAUUUUGUACAACUCAUACUGUGCCCCAAGAUGCAUGUUCUAAUCCAAUUGAUAUGCUUUCACUGAACAAUCACAUGUUCUUAGGAAAAAUUCAUCUUGAAGUCAAGACUCAAGAGUCAGUCUACCACAAGUGACUAUGAUCUGAGUGUGUCUUUAACUUAUCUCUCUAAUGUAGUAUUUUCUUUACACUUAUAAGUAUUAAAAUUUGGCAGCACAUAUCUUAACUUUUUAAAAGAAGCGAUGAAAAAUCUAAUGUUUGUUCAUGUAGCUAAUUUAUUGCCCGAAAACCUCUAGCUACUUGCUUCUCACUGGAUUAUCCUCACGCUCUAUAGUAGAGUGAUGCAAACCUGGAUUUGUUUCUGUAGCUAAAGCAUGAUGAAAAAUGAGGUUCCAUUUCAUUCUAUUUGCUAUUUGCUGUCUUUAUUGGCUCAGUUUGUUCACUUUAUUUUCACAGUGACUUAAGGUUUGAUUCUUUUUCAUAAGCCUAAUAAUUAGUAUUUUUUAGCUGUUAUUUAUGAUUAUUGCUGGACCAGUUUAAGAUUUAAUGUGCUACUUUGGUCCAAAAGGAAACUGCUAUUUUGGUAAUCAGGACUUGAUUUUUUAAGCUGUCAUGACUCACGACAGUCCUUAAGUAGUUGCUAAUGUUCUCUCAAAUUGGAUAGUUACGUUACUAACUAUUAAUUUCUUAGUGAUAUAUGCAGCUUAACAGGAUGCUAUAUUUUGGAGCCGAAUGAGAAAAACUUCUUUCUACUUACAAGCCGUUACUCUUAGUUUAGCGUACCUUCCUCAGUUACUUUCACUUUGUUGUGUUUAAAUUUAUCAACUGAUAUCAAAAUUACCAUUAUUACAUACAUGUGUCGAUUGCAAUGGUUAGAAUUCUCCUUAAUUUUUCAAUGGCAUUCCUCCCUUUUUUUAA